rnacentral:tRNA from 1 species
UCCAGGCUAACUCAGUCGGUAGAGCAUGAGACUCUAAAUCUCAGGUUGUGGGUUCAUGCCUCAUGUUGGGUG